UUUUACUUUUCAUCCGUAUACUCCAUUUUGUCGUUGUCGUGAAUAGACGUUAUACUUACACCAAACAGUUUUAGUGAAAAAUUAAAUAAAUCAAACCGCUAAAUAAUUUUUUAACAUUUUAAAAUGAGUUACGGUCGACCACCUCCCCGCAUUGACGGGAUGGUGUCUUUAAAAGUUGAUAAUUUAACAUACAGAACGACACCGGAAGAUUUACGACGCGUUUUCGAGAGAUGUGGCGAAGUUGGCGACAUUUAUAUCCCUCGAGAUCGCUUUACUCGUGAAAGUCGUGGAUUUGCUUUUGUAAGGUUUUACGAUAAACGUGAUGCCGAAGAUGCAUUAGAUGCUAUGGAUGGUCGUUUGUUGGAUGGAAGGGAGCUUCGUGUGCAGAUGGCACGGUAUGGAAGACCUACUUCUCCUCAUCGAAGUCGAGGAAGCCGACGACGCGGAAGAUCUCGAAGUCGCAGCCGAGAUCGCAGACGAUCUCGUUCAAGAUCUCGUUCUAGAUCACGAAGCCGAGAUAGAGAUCGAAGGCGUUCUUAUUCUCGUAGUCGCAGUCGCUCACGUUCCGACAGUAAAAGUUCUAGAGGAAAAUCUCGCUCUCGCAGCAAGUCAGCAGACAGAGAAAAUAGUCGCUCAAAAUCCAGGGACUGAAGUGUUGAUAAAAAUGUAUGAAAGUACAAUGGAAUGAGAUGUACGUGCCGAGUUACAUGCAGAUAAUUCUGAAAUUUAUAAAAGGCGGUGGAAAGGAGUGGCGUUUCGAGUGAUGGGGGUAAGCUGAGAGUAAGCAGAGUAAGCCGAUGUAGCGGGGCUGAAUGCAGUUUGCUGUAAGCGAGCGGUUGGUGGUCUGGUGAAAAGCAGGUUCGCGUGCAGGGUUGCUGUGAGUGAGGACGCGUGCUCACUCUAUCACUCUGGGGGGUUGGAGCGCAGUUAGGAUCAUGUUCGAGAAAAUAAGAAACAAGAAUAAUCAUCAGAGCUGCCCUGGGCCUCUGAAAUCAUCUGGUGUAGCAGUCUAGUAGAGCUGAUAUGGCCGUGAUCAUCACCAGACCUCGGGAAUGCUGACGAAAAAAAGAGUUCCGGUUCGAUCUUCAUAAUCUUUCUCGAUAACACCUUAAGAAAGAAUUAUGAAAUGAUGAAACUGAUGAUUCUUCCAACGUUUCCAAUACAAUUCAAAAUAUUUGCAGUUUUGAAUCCAUGAAGUUCUACAAAUAAUCGUCACUUUCAAACCGAUAAGUAACACGUACACCGAUGAUGUAAGUAUAAAAAAACAAAUUCGAUUAGUUACUAUUUGAUAAUAAUUAUUUGACAUAUAAUUUAUUUAUUCAGCUGGUAGGUAACAAUUAUUUAUUUUAGAAUUUUUAAAAAU
rnacentral:misc_RNA from 1 species